GCUCCGCUUUGCCUGGGACCAGGAAAAGACGCGAGAGACGGAACUCGGCAUCAGGCACUGCUUGGGGCAGGAGGAGAGUAGGGGAAACCAAGGAAGAGAACAGAAAGGUAAGCACCAGCCACAAAAACCUACAAAAGAAGGGAAAUUACUGUCUUUAAAUAUUAAAAAAAAACAAGAUCCAUGAGUGGGCAUCGAUCAACAAGGAAAAGAUGUGGAGAUUCUCACCCGGAGUCCCCAGUGGGCUUCGGGCAUAUGAGUACUACAGGAUGUGUAUUAAAUAAAUUGUUUCAGUUACCAACACCACCAUUGUCAAGACACCAACUAAAGCGGCUAGAAGAACACAGAUAUCAAAGUGCUGGACGGUCCCUGCUUGAGCCCUUAAUGCAAGGGUAUUGGGAAUGGCUCGUUAGAAGAGUUCCCUCCUGGAUUGCCCCAAAUCUCAUCACCAUCAUUGGACUGUCAAUAAACAUCUGUACAACUAUUUUAUUAGUCUUCUACUGCCCUACAGCUACAGAGCAGGCACCUCUGUGGGCAUAUAUUGCUUGUGCCUGUGGCCUUUUCAUUUACCAGUCUUUGGAUGCUAUUGAUGGGAAACAGGCAAGAAGAACCAAUAGUAGUUCUCCUCUGGGAGAACUUUUUGAUCAUGGUUGUGAUUCACUAUCAACAGGUAUUGUUGAUUUUUUUAAUGUUAUUGAUUAUUAACAAUCGUUAAACCAGUGUGCUAACUAAGCAGUGUUAGAAUACAUGUUUAGUCAUGAGAAUAAGUAAUUUUGUAUUAAAUUUUAGUAUUUCUCAAAAGACUAUGAACCUAGUUAAUAUUUGUUCAUUAUUGGUAGUGUUAGGAAAUUUAGAAAUUACUUUCUGCUUGUUAUUUUUAGCCCCAAAUAUUGUUUUGGCAUCUUUUGUUUUUAAAAGCUUGGGGCAUAAUUGUCACCAUCAAAACUCUUAUGAACUAAAUGAGAGUACAGUGGUGGGAGACUAGUUAGGUAAUUUGUGGUCUUCAUAUAUUUAAAUGAAUGUUAUGUAGACAUUCAGAAUUAUGUUAAUGGACUUGGAUUAUAACUACGUCAUAAGAAGCUCAGAGAAAGACUAUGACAAAUUAGGAGUAUCGUUAAUAUUGCAUUGUGUACUGGAAAUUUGCUAAGAGAGUACAUUUUAGGUGCUUUUACCACAGGAGAAAAAAGGUAACUAUGGGACAUGAUGGAUAGGUUAAUUUGCUUAACUGUAGUAAUCAUUUAUAUAUAUGGCAUGUUUUACACCUCAUAUACAAUUUUUAAAAGAAACACUAAAGUGCUAGCAAUAACCGAGUUACUCUGUUUGGAUUAUAAGUGAUAUCUCUUUAUUUGCACUGUUUUGCAAGUUUUUAAAAUAGUAGUUUAUUAUGUUUUUAGAGAGGAAAAAGAUACUUAAAAUCUAAAUGACAGUUUUUCGGCUAGUCUUUCUGACAGGAACUCAUCCCUCCCCUCUUUUAUUUUUGUUUUAUUUAGUUUCUCAAUUAUUUUCUUGGUUGACAUGGCACUUAAAAUAUUUAAAAAGAAACUAACAAAAACCCCUUAUAGUUUUACCUCCUGAAUCCAGAUUUACAGGUAUAGGUGCAUAUCAAAAUCAUUGCUUCAUUGUAUCCCAACAGCAGCUUAUUUAGUAGAGGAGGAGAAGCAACUAAGGUCAUAUAAUUUUUUAAGAGUCAAAUCAAGAAAUACUCGAAACUUCUGUUGAAUAAAUGGUAGUUGGCUGUCUUGAAAGGCAACAACCAGCUGACUGCAGAUGGCAGGCUUCCUAUUAUUUAUUUUAAAUUGCAGUCAUUUUUGCGUUGUAGUUUGAGGUCUAGACUUUUAUAGGAAGUCUUUUUCUAUGUAUGUCACCCAUAACAAUAUCUGUUUAAAAAAAAAAAGACAGUUAUCAAUCUGAAGCAAGUAAGUCGGUCCGUCUGGGGAUUAUAUAGCCCCUUUGUUUUUCUUUUUUGGCUGUCUGCCUUGUAAUGAUUUGCUGAUCAUUAGUACUAGUGUCUCUAAGUCAGGAAAAUACUCGAAGAAAUGUUGAAGUAUUUUAGUUGCCUUCAAGAACUUUGCUUCCACUAAGUGAUUUGGUAAAAAAAAAAAAAAAAA
rnacentral:sRNA from 1 species